GGCGGGAUAGCUCAGCUGGUAGAGCACACGACUGAAAAUCGUGGUGUCCCCGGUUCAAGUCCGGGUCUCGCCA
rnacentral:tRNA from 1 species